AGCGAACAAGGAAGAUGAAGACUUUCGAUGAUCCAGCAAUACCUGGUCCUUCAUCAGCUGAAGAAAUGCCAUCAACUUCAACAUCGUUUAGAGAUGUGGCAAUAUUAACUGUCGAAGAACCAUCAGCAUCACAUGCAAGACCAUCAACCUCCAGUGCAGGGCCAUCUUCAGCAGCUCAAUCGGUGUCAGCUGCUUCGAAUGUUGCUCUGGAAG